rnacentral:rRNA from 1 species
GUCUAUGGCCAUGCCACCCUGAACAUGCCUGAUCACGUCUGGUCUCGGAAGCUAAGUAGGAUCGGCCCGGUUAGUACUUGGAUGGGAGAUUACCUAGGAAGACCAGGUGCUGUAGGUG